CCAGUAGUCAUAUGCUUGUCUCAAAGAUUAAGCCAUGCAUGUCUAAGUAUAAGCAAUAUACCGUGAAACUGCGAAUGGCUCAUUAAAUCAGUUAUCGUUUAUUGAUAAUACCUUACUACUUGGAUAACCGUGGUAAUUCUAGAGCUAAUACAUGCUGAAAAUCCCGACUUCGGAAGGGAUGUGUUUAUUAGAUAAAAAACCAAUGCCCUUCGGGGCUUUUUGGUGAUUCAUGAUAACUUUACGGAUCGCAUAGCCUUGCGCUGGCGACGGUUCAUUCAAAUUUCUGCCCUAUCAACUUUCGAUGGUAAGGUAUUGGCUUACCAUGGUUUCAACGGGUAACGGGGAAUUGGGUUCGAUUCCGGAGAGGGAGCCUGAGAAACGGCUACCACAUCCAAGGAAGGCAGCAGGCGCGCAAAUUACCCAAUCCCGACACGGGGAGGUAGUGACAAUAAAUACUGAUACAGGGCUCUUUUGGUCUUGUAAUUGGAAUGAGUACAAUUUAAACCUCUUAACGAGGAACAAUUGGAGGGCAAGUCUGGUGCCAGCAGCCGCGGUAAUUCCAGCUCCAAUAGCGUAUAUUAAAGUUGUUGCAGUUAAAAAGCUCGUAGUUGAAACUUGGCCUGGCUGGCGGGUCCGCCUCACCGCGUGCACUCGUCCGGCGGCCUUCCUUCUGAAGAACCUCAUGCCCUUCACUGGGCGUGCUGGGGAAUCAGGACUUUUACUUUGAAAAAAUUAGAGUGUUCAAAGCAGGCCUUUGCUCGAAUACGUUAGCAUGGAAUAAUAAAAUAGGGCGUGCGUUUCUAUUUUGUUGGUUUCUAGAGACGCCGCAAUGAUUAACAGGAACAGUCGGGGGCAUCAGUAUUCAGUUGUCAGAGGUGAAAUUCUUGGAUUUACUGAAGACUAACUACUGCGAAAGCAUUUGCCAAGGAUGUUUCAUUAAUCAGUGAACGAAAGUUAGGGGAUCGAAGACGAUCAGAUACCGUCGUAGUCUUAACCGUAAACUAUGCCGACUAGGGAUCGGGCGAUGUUCUUUUUCUGACUCGCUCGGCACCUUACGAGAAAUCAAAGUUUUUGGGCUUCUGGGGGAUUAUGGUCGCAAGGCUGAAACUUAAAGAAAUUGACGGAAGGUCACCACCAGGCGUGGAGCCUGCGGCUUAAUUUGACUCAACACGGGGAAACUCACCAGGUCCAGAUGAAAUAAGGAUUGACAGAUUGAGAGCUCUUUCUUGAUUUUUCAGGUGGUGGUGCAUGGCCGUUCUUAGUUCGUGGGGUGACUUGUCUGCUUAAUUGCGAUAACGAGCGAGACCUUACUCUGCUAAAUAGCCAGGCUAACUUUGGUUGGUCGCCGGCUUCUUAGAGAGACUAUCAACUCAAGUUGAUGGAAGUUUGAGGCAAUAACAGGUCUGUGAUGCCCUUAGAUGUUCUGGGCCGCACGCGCGCUACACUGACAGAGCCAACGAGUUCUUUUCCUUGUUCGAAAGAAUUGGGUAAUCUUGUUAAACUCUGUCGUGCUGGGGAUAAAGCAUUGCAAUUAUUGCUUUUCAACGAGGAAUGCCUAGUAAGCGCGUGUCAUCAGCAUGCGUUGAUUACGUCCCUGACCUUUGUACACCCGCCCGUCGCUACUACCGAUUGAAUGGCUCAGUGAGGCCUUCGGACUGGCUCGAGGAGGUUGGCAACGACCACCUCAAGCCGGAAAGUUCGUCAAACUCGGUCAUUUAGAGGAAGUAAAAGUCGUAACAAGGUCUCCGUAGGUGAACCUGCGGAGG
rnacentral:rRNA from 1 species